rnacentral:rRNA from 1 species
UACAGAGGUCUCAAGCGUUGUUCGGAUUCAUUGGGCGUAAAGGGUGCGUAGGUGGCGCGCUAAGUCAGGUGUGAAAUCUCGGGGCUUAACUCCGAAACUGCAUUUGAUACUGGCGUGCUUGAGGACUGGAGAGGAGACUGGAAUUCAUGGUGUAGCAGUGAAAUGCGUAGAGAUCGUAAGGAAGACCAGUGGCGAAGGCGGGUCUCUGGACAGUUCCUGACACUGAGGCACGAAGGCCAGGGGAGCAAACGGG